rnacentral:rRNA from 1 species
CCUACGGGAGGCAGCAGUGGGGAAUAUUGGACAAUGGGGGCAACCCUGAUCCAGCCAUGCCGCGUGAGUGAUGAAGGCCUUAGGGUUGUAAAGUUCUUUCACCGGUGAAGAUAAUGACGGUACCCGGUGAAGAAGCCCCGGCUAACUCCGUGCCAGCAGCCGCGGUAAUA